rnacentral:rRNA from 1 species
GCGCAGCAGGCGAGAAUCCUCUACAAUGUGCGAAAGCAUGAUAGGGGGGACUCCAAGUGUCUCUCUAAAGAGAGACUUUUGUAGUAUGUAAAAAGUACUACGAAUAAGGGGUGGUCAAGACUAGUGCCAGCCUCCGCGGUAACACUAGCAGCCCGAGUGGUAGUCAUUUUUAUUUGGCUUAAAGCGUCCGUAGUCUGAUUAGUAAGUUCUCUGUGAAAACCUGUUGCUUAACAAUAGGGCUUGCAGAGAAUACUACCAAUCUUGGAGCCAGGAGGGGUUAGGGGUAUUCCGGGGGUAGCGGUGAAAUGCUAUAAUCCCCGGAGGACCACCAAUGGCGAAGGCACCUAACUGGAAUGGGCUCGACGAU